rnacentral:rRNA from 1 species
UGGGGAAUUUUGGACAAUGGGCGAAAGCCUGAUCCAGCAAUGCCGCGUGUGUGAAGAAGGCCUUCGGGUUGUAAAGCACUUUUGUCCGGAAAGAAAACGCCGUGGUUAAUACCCGUGGCGGAUGACGGUACCGGAAGAAUAAGCACCGGCUAACUACGUGCCAGCAGCCGCGGUAAUACGUAGGGUGCAAGCGUUAAUCGGAAUUACUGGGCGUAAAGCGUGCGCAGGCGGCCCGCUAAGACAGAUGUGAAAUCCCCGGGCUUAACCUGGGAACUGCAUUUGUGACUGGCGGGCUAGAGUAUGGCAGAGGGGGGUAGAAUUCCACGUGUAGCAGUGAAAUGCGUAGAGAUGUGGAGGAAUACCGAUGGCGAAGGCAGCCCCCUGGGCCAAUACUGACGCUCAUGCACGAAAGCGUGGGGAGCAAACAGG